GACGAACGCUGGCGGCGUGCUUAACACAUGCAAGUCGAACGGAAAGGCCCUGCUUUUGUGGGGUGCUCGAGUGGCGAACGGGUGAGUAACACGUGAGUAACCUGCCCUUGACUUUGGGAUAACUUCAGGAAACUGGGGCUAAUACCGGAUAGGAGCUCCUGCUGCAUGGUGGGGGUUGGAAAGUUUCGGCGGUGGGGGAUGGACUCGCGGCUUAUCAGCUUGUUGGUGGGGUAGUGGCUUACCAAGGCUUUGACGGGUAGCCCGCCUGAGAGGGUGACCGGCGACAUGGGGACUGCGAUACGGCCCAGACUCCUACGGGAGGCAGCAGUGGGGAAUAUUGCACAAUGGGCGGAAGCCUGAUGCAGAAACGCCGCGUGCGGGAUGACGGCCUUCGGGUUGUAAACCGCUUUCGACUGUGACGAAGCGUGAGUGACGGUAAUGGGUAAAGAAGCACCGGCUAACUACGUG
rnacentral:rRNA from 1 species